CAUCGGGAAACUGGUGCUAAUACCGCAUGAUACCUGAGGGUCAAAGGCGCAAGUCGCCUGUGGAGGAGCCUGCGUUCGAUUAGCUUGUUGGUGGGGUAAAGGCCUACCAAGGCGAUGAUCGAUAGCUGGUCUGAGAGGAUGAUCAGCCACACUGGGACUGAGACACGGCCCAGACUCCUACGGGAGGCAGCAGUGGGGAAUAUUGGACAAUGGGCGAAAGCCUGAUCCAGCAAUGCCGCGUGUGUGAAGAAGGUCUUCGGAUUGUAAAGCACUUUCGACGGGGACGAUGAUGACGGUACCCGUAGAAGAAGCCCCGGCUAACUUCGUGCCAGCAGCCGCGGUAAUACGAAGGGGGCUAGCGUUGCUCGGAAUGACUGGGCGUAAAGGGCGCGUAGGCGGUUUACACAGUCAGAUGUGAAAUUCCAGGGCUUAACCUUGGGGCUGCAUUUGAUACGUGUAGACUAGAGUGUGAGAGAGGGUUGUGGAAUUCCCAGUGUAGAGGUGAAAUUCGUAGAUAUUGGGAAGAACACCGGUGGCGAAGGCGGCAACCUGGCUCAUUACUGACGCUGAGGCGCGAAAGCGUGGGGAGCAAACAGGAUUGGA
rnacentral:rRNA from 1 species